GAUUCUCUUCGGAGAGAGCGGCGGACGGGUGAGUAACGCGUGGGUAACCUGCCCUGUACACACGGAUAACAUACCGAAAGGUAUGCUAAUACGGGAUAAUAUAAGAAAUUCGCAUGUUUUUCUUAUCAAAGCUCCGGCGGUACAGGAUGGACCCGCGUCUGAUUAGCUAGUUGGUGAGGUAACGGCUCACCAAGGCGACGAUCAGUAGCCGACCUGAGAGGGUGAUCGGCCACAUUGGAACUGAGACACGGUCCAAACUCCUACGGGAGGCAGCAGUGGGGAAUAUUGCACAAUGGGCGAAAGCCUGAUGCAGCAACGCCGCGUGAGCGAUGAAGGCCUUCGGGUCGUAAAGCUCUGUCCUCAAGGAAGAUAAUGACGGUACUUGAGGAGGAAGCCCCGGCUAACUACGUGCCAGCAGCCGCGGUAAUACGUAGGGGGCUAGCGUUAUCCGGAUUUACUGGGCGUAAAGGGUGCGUAGGCGGUCUUUUAAGUCAGGAGUGAAAGGCUACGGCUCAACCGUAGUAAGCUCUUGAAACUGGAGGACUUGAGUGCAGGAGAGGAGAGUGGAAUUCCUAGUGUAGCGGUGAAAUGCGUAGAUAUUAGGAGGAACACCAGUAGCGAAGGCGGCUCUCUGGACUGUAACUGACGC
rnacentral:rRNA from 1 species